rfam:Ovis aries breed Texel chromosome 2, whole genome shotgun sequence.
UCCUUGGUGUUUCAGAUGGUAAAGAAUCUGCCUGCAAUGCAGGAGACCUAGGUUCAAUCCCUGGUUUGGGAA